GCCUUAGCUCAGUUGGUUAGAGUGUGGUGCUGAUACCGCCAAGCUUGCUGGUUCAAUCCCCACAUGGGACA